rnacentral:rRNA from 1 species
UACGUAGGUGGCAAGCGUUGUCCGGAUUUAUUGGGCGUAAAGCGCGCGCAGGCGGUUUCUUUUAAGUCUGAUGUGAAAUCUUGCGGCUUAACCGCAAGCGGUCAUUGGAAACUGGGGAACUUGAGUACAGAAGAGGAAAGUGGAAUUCCACGUGUAGCGGUGAAAUGCGUAGAGAUGUGGAGGAACACCAGUGGCGAAGGCGACUUUCUGGUCUGUAACUGACGCUGAGGCGCGAAAGCGUGGGGAGCAAACAGGG